CAGAAAACCAAAUGCCGCAUGUUCUCACUCAUAAGUGGGAGUUGAACAAUGAGAACACAUGGACAUAGGGAGGCAAGCAUCAUACACUGGGUCUGUCGGGGGACAAGGAGAGGAGGGACAUUGG